UGGAGGAUUAAGUGAAACCAUAUGUACAACAGUGAGGCCUGGUGCCCUGAAAGAAGGUAUUCGUUGAAGCUCUUUUAACACUCUCUGAUGAUGGUUCUACAAAGCAGGAUACGGCAUGAGAAGCCGGAACCAAGCACCAUGGGAUGCACAGAGAGAAAGCUUACAUCCAUUUGGGGAGAUCAGAGACUUCAUGAAGAAGCGGCUCCGAUUGUGGCUUUGUCAGGAUAGUGGGGAUCUUGGGUGGCAGGAUGAUGGGAUGGCAGCAAUUUCUAGCUGUCACUAGCUGUGAGACCUUGGGAAAGUUGGUCAUUUUAAGCCUCAGGCUCCUCAUGUCUAGAAUGCAAAGUAAUACUCAUUACAGUUUUCUUUUCUUUUUGAGACGGAGUUUUGCCCUUUCGCCCAGGCUGGAGUGAAGUGGCUCGAUCUCGGCUCACUGCAACCUCUGCCUCCUGGGUUCAAGUGAUUCUCAUGCCUCAGCCUCCUGAGUAGCUGGGAUUACAGGCACGUGCCAUCACACCCGGCUAACUUUUGUAUUUUUAGUAGAGACGGGGUUUUGCCAUGUUACCCAGGCUGGUCUCAAACUCCUGACCUCAGGUGAUCCACCCUCCUCGGCCUCCCAAAGUGCUAGGAUUACAGGGAUGAGCCACCAUGCCCACCCUAGAGUAUUAGAUUUAGUACCAUGUCUGGCAUAGAGUAAAUAUUUGGUAUGUGAUAGUUAUUAGAAUUUUAAGAAUUAGAAGGGAGGGGCUACUUUCCAAGUAUAGACAAUAAUAUGGGCAAAGUUACGGCGUUAGUAAAGGCUAAAGCAUUUGGAGGCAAGUGGAAUUGCAUCUCUUACUGUCCUAACCUUUCUUCAAAGCUGGAUUUCUGCCAUAUAAUGAGCACCUAGAACAGGGACUGGCACAUGGUAGAGACUCCACAGAUGUGUGUUGAACAAAGUCAGCUGCCUCCUAGCUGUAUCCACUGAAUAUCCACUGAAUGUCCUUGAGGAUCCCCAAACUGAGUUACAUCUCAAGCCCUCUUCCCAAGCCUGUGGUGGUACUUGCACUCUAAAUUCUAUUAUAAACACAGCAUUAUGCCCCUAUUCCCCAAGCUAGAAACCCUGGAGAUGAGUUUGUGUCCUCCCUACCCCUCCCUCUGCUUCUAGAAAAUCACUGCUGGAUUCUCAGAAACGC
rnacentral:lncRNA from 10 species